rnacentral:rRNA from 1 species
GACAUAGGUGGCGAACGUUAUCCGGAAUUAUUGGGCGUAAAGGGUGCGUAGGCGGUUUGGUAAGUCUGAUGUGAAAUCUAUGGGCUCAACUCAUAGUCUGCAUCGGAAACUGCCGGGCUUGAGUGUGGGAGAGGUGAGUGGAAUUCCUGGUGUAGCGGUGAAAUGCGUAGAUAUCAGGAGGAACACCUGUGGCGAAAGCGGCUCACUGGACCAUAACUGACGCUGAUGCACGAAAGCUAGGGGAGCAAACAGG